rnacentral:rRNA from 1 species
CAGCAGUAGCCGCGGGAAUACGAGGGGGGCAAGCGUUGUUCGGAUUUAUUGGGCGUAAAGGGUGCGUAGGCGGUUUGGCAAGUCUUGUGUGAAAUCUAUGGGCUCAACCCAUAGCCUGCACGAGAAACUACCGGGCUUGAGUGAUGGAGAGGUGAGUGGAAUUUCCGGUGUAGCGGUGAAAUGCGUAGAUAUCGGAAGGAACACCUGUGGCGAAAGCGGCUCACUGGACAUUAACUGACGCUGAUGCACGAAAGCUAGGGGAGCAAACAGGAUUAGAUACCCGGGUAGUCCCUGUCUCUUAUAC